AGCGAACGCUGGCGGCGUGCCUAACACAUGCAAGUCGAACGUGAAAGGGAGCAAUCCCAAGUAAAGUGGCGUACGGGUGAGUAACACGUAGGUAAUCUACCCCAGAAUCUGGAAUAACCGGCCGAAAGGCUGGCUAAUACUGGAUAGAGCGACGGAAUCCGUAAUUGGGUUUUUCGGGAAAGGGAGCCUGUAAAAGGCCUUCGUUCUGGGAUGAGCCUGCGUCCCAUCAGCUAGUUGGUGAGGUAAAAGCUUACCAAGGCAAUGACGGGUAGCUGGUCUGAGAGGACGAUCAGCCACACUGGAACUGAAACACGGUCCAGACUCCUACGGGAGGCAGCAGUGGGGAAUCUUGCGCAAUGGACGAAAGUCUGACGCAGCAACGCCGCGUGAGUGAAGAAGGCCUUCGGGUUGUAAAGCUCUGUCGAGUGGGACGAAAAUGCUUGGAGUUCACAGCUCCAGGAACUGACGGUACCACUAAAGGAAGCACCGGCUAACUCCGUG
rnacentral:rRNA from 1 species